CACUUGGCAUCAAACUUCCUGUUAUCCCAGGAAGCAAUACUGUAUUCUAUACUACAAACUUAUGUGAAAAGCUUUAUCAACCUUCUUAUGAUUUUAACCUGUCUGAUCCGUAUUGUCAAUUAUUGGAAACCAACUACAAAAGCCUGCAUGAUCCACAUUUAAAAUCAUAUUAUAGGCGUAAAGAUAUCCUGAGAAGAUUAAAGAAAGAUGGCUACGUCACCAGCAAUAAUAAGGUCGUAUGUACUUUGAAGGAAUUGAAUAAAUAUAGGCAUUAUCUAACCAGUUUAAAAUUAGACUUUG